rnacentral:rRNA from 1 species
UACCAGCACCCCGAGUGGUCGGGACGAUUAUUGGGCCUAAAGCAUCCGUAGCCGGUCCUGCAAGUCUUCCGUUAAAUCCAGCUGCUCAACAGAUGGGCUGCGGAGGAUACUACAGGGCUAGGAGGCGGGAGAGGCAAGCGGUACUUUAUGGGUAGGGGUAAAAUCCGUUGAUCCAUAGAAGACCACCAGUGGCGAAGGCGGCUUGCCAGAACGCGCUCGACGGUGAAGGAUGAAAGCUGGGGGAGCAAACCGG